GGAGUGGGCCUGAGCGCUUUAAUACCAAGCCCGGGGCUAAUGGGUCCUCACCUCUCUUUGUUUAUAGAACACUGAAACUUCAGUACAGUUGAUCAGGAGAAAUAGAAAGUCAGGAAGUUGCACACAGUUAAUACCUUGCGUUUUCCCAAGGGCAGAUAUGAAAUCCAAAACUGCUGCAGAAUUAAAGGUAUGUAUGUGGGAAAGAUGGAGAGAGACCCAAACCCCAGAUAAUACAGGCAGGUUAGAUAUGGUCAUUAAGAUGGAGAAGCCAGACUGGAUUCUAAGCAGAGACUAAGAAGGGGAAACAAACUGGAAAGUUUUCCCCACUUUCCCUUCCCUACUAAAAGCCAGAAACCAACAUCUACCAUUAGCCUUUCAAAACUGGGUCCCAGGAUCUUGGUCUCCAGGAGGUCAUAAAGAUACACACAGGGACACCAGAAGCCACCUACAGAUUUAUUAAACUUUAUUUCCUCUGAGUCUCUGGGCAGUCAGCAGGGAUGUAAGGCGAAGUGGCAGUAGCUGAAGGGGCCUGAGCAGAGCUGGUGCUGGGAGGGGCCGACAUGGACAGGAAGAAGAGGAAGAGA